rnacentral:rRNA from 1 species
UCCCAGACUCCUACGGGAGGCAGCAGUGGGGAAUAUUGCACAAUGGGGGAAACCCUGAUGCAGCGACGCCGCGUGAGUGAAGAAGUAUUUCGGUAUGUAAAGCUCUAUCAGCAGGGAAGAAAUAGCGACCUUUGGGUCGCCAGACGGUACCUGACUAAGAAGCCCCGGCUAACUACGUGCCAGCAGCCGCGGUAAUACGUAGGGGGCAAGCGUUAUCCGGAUUUACUGGGUGUAAAGGGAGCGUAGACGGCAGCACAAGUCUGAAGUGAAAUGCCGGGGCUUAACCCCGGAACUGCAUUGGAAACUGUAUUUCUAGAGUGUCGGAGAGGCAAGUGGAAUUCCUGGUGUAGCGGUGAAAUGCGUAGAUAUCAGGAGGAACACCAGUGGCGAAGGCGGCUUGCUGGACGAUGACUGACGUUGAGGCUCGAAAGCGUGGGGAGCGAACAGGAUUAGAUACCCCUGUAU